AUGGAUGGGAUGAAGUAUAAAACCAUAUUGCUGAAGAACAAGACCACAAAGGGACCAUACUUCUGGGCUGUCCUGGGAAUCUGUAGAGCCUUCAGGGAGGAACAGGAAAGAGCAGCAGCUUGGUGUAUUCUUCAGCUGAUGAACAUCUGCUGCUGGAGAGAGAAUCUUGAACGUAUGCCACCCACCAAGCUCAGAAUUAAACCGAGCAGGAUUCUAAAGUCUGAAUGGGAUGCCAGUGCUGAGCAAGGCAACUAGACUGUGGUGUGUACCUGUGCUGUCAAGAAGCAUGGCACUCUUCCCCGUACCCCUGAGACAAUGGAAAUUGGUAACAAUGUGGAAUUUCUUGUUUAGAGCCAAAAGAGAAAAAUGCAUUGCUGGAAAGGUUUUGGCAGUUUGGUAAACACUAGUAAAUUAAGCAGGGUCUGAUGAGUUCCUGCAAUAUGUUUAAUGACAUUUAGAGGAAUGGACCUACCCAGACUGAAGGCAAUUGAUAUAUUUAUGAAGAGUUGGCCAUAGGCUUUCCCUUUCCAGUUUGAAAGCCUCAGAAUAUACUAGAAGUAAAACAAAGACCUCAUCAGGGGAAUACCAGAUUAUCAGUUUGUGCUCAAGUUGUAGCUUCCUUUUCCAUGUGCUGCACAGUAGGAAUGUGUGUAUUUGUGUUAUGUUUCAUUUUUGAACUGUCUGAGCUGUAGCCUGUAAAUCAAAUGAAAAACCUGAUUUAUUUCAUGCUAGCCAAGGAUACUGAAUUCUCAAUUCUCCCUUCUGUGAACACCAUUAAGUCUGGGCUCUGCCUGAUACAGUGCACAGUCUGCACUAGAAGACCAACUAGUGACUUUGGUGGCAUAAAGACCUUACAGGAAAAAAUACUUUCUGGUCAAAAAUAAAAAGAAGUCUUAAGAAAAUAAGUCUUGUGCU
rnacentral:lncRNA from 1 species